GCGGUCGUGGCGGAAUUGGCAGACGCGCAAGAUUCAGGUUCUUGUGAGUGCAAACUCGUGGAGGUUCAAGUCCUCUCGACCGCACCA
rnacentral:tRNA from 1 species